rnacentral:lncRNA from 10 species
CAGGAAUAAAUACUCUGGCCUCUUCCUCCUCCUGUUGUCCAAUCGCUUGCACUGCAUUUAUCAAACCCAACUAAAAGCUGAGGGCAGAUGAGCCUGGGUAACACACUCCUUCCGGAUCAGCCUCCUGGGGCAGGCAGAAUCACAAAGAAUACAUCAGGAGACACACACACUGAGAAUGACCCCAUCUUAAUACUAGAUUCCUAUGUAAAAGGAGAAAAAACAUGGAAGUUUCAAUCAGGUAAAACUUGUAUUUCCUGUCAUCUACAACACACUGCUUCUCCAUACUUCAUAAAAUGCUUCCAGCUGAAUAAAGGAAGGGAAUUAGAGAGGAGAGUUUAGAUAAGACAGACUCUAGAGAAAAAUCUAUGCUUACCUCCCAGACGGAUUCACAGCAAGAGGAAGAGAUAGAAUCCCAUAUUUAGGCGAUCUGAAAGCAGAUGGGCGACUGUUAUGCUUUUUACCUGGCUACACAUGGAGGCUGUAAACCUCACUGACCAUUCUCUGCAUCCUCAUGAUGAAAAAUGCUGGUGGAGAUGGCCCCAUAAGGCACCAUAUCUAUAGGCAUACAGAGACAAAUGAGCCAGAGAGGAACCUCAGAAAUAUUUGCUGAGUGUUUUUACUCCCAGUGCUUGAGGAGCUGCCAAAUUUCUCAUAUGAAACAUUGUAAAUUGCCCUAAGACUAGAGAGUUUCUCUUGCCAUGACUUUAAAAUUAAGGUCAAAACAUAGUCAAUUAUAUCUAGUACAAUUAUAUAUAUCCAACGAAGAGGUAAUAUAUUUUGCAGGAAUAAAGAAGACACAGUGAGGCCUAUGUUCAGCCUUGCCUCACCUUAUGGCCAAAAGUUUCUCACCAAAAUUCACCACUCUACCAGAAUUUGGAGGGUUUGCCAAUUUAAAUAAUUCUAUAGAAACUAGCAACUAAAUACAGUUGAAUUUGUUUAUAGGAAGUUGUAUCAAGAUGUUUUAAAAGAACACCAAUAUUUUAUAUGCUGCUUUUAGGAAGCUUUAAAAUGAUCAUUUGAGACACUGUUGCAUGCAGAUAAAUUCUCUAGUCUGCUUGUGUAUCUCCAGUGCAAUUUAAAACACAGAUGCAGGCAAGAGAGAAGGGCUGGAGGCUAACAGAAUUUGGCAGCAGCUGUAAGUCUUUCUUUUCCCGUAAUAGCUUUGUAGAUGUCAGCAUGAAAGGACAAGACCUGGUCUCUGCUCUCACUUCAAAGGAGUCUAGGCAUUAAAUCUCCAACAGUCUCAUGCCUUUAGCAGAAGGCUUGUGAAGACAGGGGCAACUGAUGUGAAUCCCAGGGGAGGAAAAGGUAAUUUUCUAACACAGAAACACAAAUCAUCCCAAUGGAUCCUAGUAAGUUGAGUAUGAGGGGAAAGAUGCUAAGAUAAUGUAGAAAAUGCUGCAACAUAUUGAGAAGGAGGAUGGAAUGUGGAGUUCAGUAUUCCCUUUGGAUGGAACUCAAGGGAAAACUCAUAGGUGUUAUCUGUUUCUGUGCUCAGAGCCUGCAGUUAUACUUCUAAGUUCAAAGACUCAGUUGACUAAUCUUAAAUCAUUAUUGUUUGUCUUUUAAAAAAGUACUUGUACAGAAAAUUACAUAGUAUUAUAAUAUUUGUUGGCAGUCAAGAAAAGGCAAAAGAGCUAAAGCAAUCACCACUGGUGGACUCUCACUUGAGCUCCCCAUUGAAUAAUCAGCAAUGGAGAAAGCAGUUGACAUUCAGCUCAAUGAACACACAUUGAGUAUGUAACAUGAUCUAGGCACUAAUUGGUUUCUUUGAAAGGGAAGGGACCUACAUAUCCAUAAAACACAGACCUUCCCCCAAGUGACAAAUCAAGAAGUCUAGAAGCAUCUUAGACGUAUGUGUGCUUGCCAGGAAAGUUCCACAAGGCUACUGGGGAGUCUUCGACCAAAGUCACCCAUCAGAGGAGUCCCACAUGUCCCAGGAAUUUGGGAUUUUUUUGUCAUACUCAUUCACUGAUGGAGAGCAGCACAUGGGAAGUGUGGCUGUGGUGCAAAUGUGGUGAUGGAUUUCAGAGCCAGGUAGAAGAUCUCUUGGUCAAUUAUGCUCCCUGCUCUGACAGGCAAGUUCCCACAAUGGCCACACCAGUGAGUCGGCUCCCUGGAAAUGUCAGUAUAACACAGAGAAACCUCUCCUUAAAAUGGUAGCAUCCACUUUACGAGUUAAGAAGAGUAAGAAGUGAGCAACACAUGGCAUUCUAUUACGGCAUUGCAAGUUGCGGCAAUGAUUUCUUUGUUGUCUUGAUAUCAAAAUUUAACUCUAUCAUGGUAUAAAUUGAUCUUGUCAUUGUGACCCAUGAACAUUUACUGAAUAUUUAUGAUAUGUUUACCAAUGAGAAUGCAAAGAGGUCUCAGACUCUUUAUCUCAAGAGGCUUAUCUAUUUAGGGGGAAAAUGCAUGUAUAUUAAAGAAUUCCAGAUAGUAUAGUCUACCAAGUCUAGAGUUUAUUUAUUUCACUUAUAAGCUAUAGAAUGAACCUGUAAUGCUUUCCCAGAAGUGUAGCAGAAGAUACAAGAUCCUGGGUCAGAAAUGAAGGAUUUUGUGAUUUACAGCACAGCAAGCAGCAGUGGAGUUUGGGGAGCCCACUGCUUUUCCAACAAGCAGAAAGUUAGCCUGAUCUUUGUUGAAGGCGGAUACAUUACCUCAUCUUGCAGGUAACCAGCUGCAUAAACAAGUGUGAGAAAUGGCCUGAGUAUCAGGGCCUUGCAGUCUUGGCUCACCCAGCAAGACAUGUAGGAACUCAAGAAGCCCAAGGAAGGCUGCCUCCUCCAACACAGGCAGAAAGUCAAAUGGUCAAUACCAGUGACAGCACCACUGAAGUUUGGAAAUCAGAAAUAACAGGACAUUCAUGACAUAGGGGAAAUGGAUUUUUUUUUCAUGAAUAUAAACCAAAAAUAAAAUUCUAAGCCCCUCAACCAUCUGAAUGGACCGCUCCUUUUGGCCAGGGCACUCCAAAGUUAAUCUGAAAAACUAAUUCAAGCCAUGAUAGGAAGUAGGGGUCAGACAUGCCUCAUUAAACUCUCCUCCCUUUUGGAAUUCAGGAAAAACUGGACUAGCAUUAACAACACAGACCUUAAGUCUGAUAAACAUUUACAAUCUGUUCUCUCUGAAGCCUACUACCUGGAGGCUUCAUCUGCAUAAUAAAACCUUGAUCUCCACAACCCCUUAUCAUAACUCAGACAUUCCUUUCUAUUGAUAAUAAUUCCUUCAACCAAUUACCAAUCAGAAAAUUUUAAAAUCUAUCCAGGACCUGGAACACCCACCCCUACCUCCUCAUGCUUUGAGUUGUCCUACCUUUCCAGGUCAAACCAAUGUACAUCUUACAUGUAUUGAUUAAUGACUUGUGUCUCCCUAAAAUGUAUAAAAGCAAGCUGUACCCCUACCGCCUUGGGCACAUGUCAUCAGGACCUCCUGAGGCUGUGUCACAGGUGCAUCUUUAACCUUGGCAAAAUAAACUUUCUAAAUUGAUUGAGUCCUGCCUCAGAUACUUUUGGGUUCACAUUACAAAAACGAAGAAAAGAUUACUGCCUAUAGUAAAAUAUUUAUUAUUAGCUUACCUCAACAGGCAGCAGUGGUUU